AUAACCAAUCCAUACCGAUGACGACGUCGAAACUACCCAAAACUAUGGGUAUGAGGUCAAUCGAGAAAGUCUGACCCGCUAGAACAAUACUACAACCCUUGACUACCUGUGCGGCUUCUACACUUUUACCAUUGGCUAGUUCUACGACGUGUUUGGUGUCUAGGGGUGUUGGUGUACGUUUUAAUAAUUUACUCAUUUUCAAUGACAUAUAACAGUAACAUAAAUAUCGUCGAGAAGAAACUUACCCAUAACCACAUUGGGAUCAUUCACUGCGUCACCCCGACCUAGCACAAAAGCACGACCCCGAGCUUCGUUGCCAUUGUUGUUGUUGUUUCCCCCGUUAUUGUUAUCAAUCGAGAAAGUCUGACCAGCUAGAACGAUGUUACAGCCCUUGAUUACAUGUGCCGCUUCUACACUUUUACCAUUUGCCAGUUCUACGACGUGUUUAGUGUUUAGGGGUGUUGGUGUACGUUU
rnacentral:lncRNA from 1 species